rnacentral:lncRNA from 1 species
GCUGUGAUACAUCAGUAGUAGUAUAUUUAAAAGUAGCUGUGCUUUAUGAAAAGUUGAUACCUAUAAAGAAAUUUUAAAAACCAAGUCAAUCAGGAUCAUAAGGAAUUCCUUAAAACACAAAAAUGAGGUAACUCUUAAAACUUCCAGAAAAUGAUUUCACCAGUGACUUCCUUACAUGUUCUUGGUGCUUUUUGAAAUUAUUCAUUUUAGCAAAUAUUUGAUUAAUGUUUACUUGCAUCCAGUGAGAAUCAGUUAUCAUAUUAAAUCCAAUUUAAAGUUGUUUCAGGAAAUCAUUUUUCACUGAUCAGUAGAGGCUGAACUGGAAUAGAUAUGCAAUUUGGUGAGUUUGAUGAUCUUUUGCAAACAUUUCAAAUGCUAUUAUCAGUUAAUCUCUUAAUGAAUCUGUGCUAGAGUUCUUCAAAGGGUUUGGGAUAAAGAUGAAGGUGAAAAAAGUAGUAUUACUCUGGAUUGGAAAUUAGGAGACUUGGGUUCCAAGGCUUACUAAACCAUUACUUAGCUGUUUAAACUUUGGGGAAGCUAGGUUUUGUCUUUUGUUUUAAAGGAAUGAUGUAGACAGCCACUAACAGUCCUUAUUAGUAUUAAAAAGCCUAUUUGAGCAAUCAAGUUGAGUUGUGUAUGGUAAAAGCAGUAGGCUGGUCAUAGAAAUGAGAAUUUGUUAUUUGCCAUUCUGGCUACAAGAAACACUAAUCUGGUAUGUAACAAACGUUGUUGCCUAUAUCCCCCCUGCCACCCCAGGCAAGCCCAUGGAGGUGCACCCAGACCUGCCGUCAAUUGUCAGGGCCACAUCUUCCUGCUGGAGGACUUUCCUUGGUUUCUGACGUUGCUGAAUGAAGAGAGAGAGAACAGAAGAACAUUGUUGAUUUUAUUGGGAGUUCAUUCCUUCUGCGACUCACAUUAAACAAAUUUGUACAAUCUCCAUUAGAGACAAAAGAGAAACAACAACAACAGAACAAAAUAUAAAUAGUAGCUGGAAUCUGUGUAUUUAAUGCAGAAAGACUUUUCCUUUAUUUAAUCUGCCUUUUGUAAAGCUAAAGACCAGCAACUCUUUGCAGUUAGCCCGAUAAGCCGGUGUUGAACUGUGAGACUCUAUGAUUACUACAAACUCAAAAAUAUUUAUCUCCAUAUUAUUUCAUAGAAGACAAGGUGGGUAUGUGAAAUCAGAGGUUUGAAAAUCACAAGUUUAGACUCUUUUAGAUAAGCUCCCCUGGUUGUACAUUGUGUUCCUCCAUACCUCUGUCUCUCCAUGUAUGGCAUUUUAGUACUGUCUCCAGAAAAUAUUCUUAAAUAAUAUGAAACAAGUCAGAAAUUUGCCUUGAAAUAACUGACGACUCAUCUCUUCAAGAUUUGCAAGGACAUAUUUAUAUUUGGCACAUGCUAUAAAUAACAGCUGGCAAUUUUGCCACACCAUUUUUUUCACUCAUUUCUAC